GCUCCAGACGAUGAAGAACUGGCGGCGCACAUCUGUAAUGGUCUUGAUGUCGAUUACAAUUAUGUGGUGACAUCAGUCACUGCUAGGACUAGGACCGAUCCCAACUCGAUCCUUGAGCUUAUGCCCAACUGCUCAGUUUUGAGA
rfam:Zea mays cultivar B73 chromosome 8, whole genome shotgun sequence.